AUUAGAAAUACAAAGUAUUCCUAGAGAUCUUUUGAAGAAUCAUAAAGAAAUAACAUAAAAAUUUAAAAAUAUACUAAAAUAAAAAUCUUAAUUAAAACUUAAUCAAAAUUUAAUCAAAUUCUAAUCAAAUCCUUGUCAAAUCCUAAACAAAUCCUAAAUAAAUUCUAGUCAAAUCCUAACAAAUCUUAAACAAACCUUAAACAAACUUUAACCAAAUUCUAAUCAAAUUCUAAAAAAAUUUACCCAAAUCCUAAAAAAACCCUAAUCAAAUCCUAAAUAAAUCCUAACCAAAUCCUAAAUAAAUCCUAGUCAAAUCCUAAACAAAUCCUAAACAAAUCCUAGUCAAAUCCUAAACAAAUCCUAAACAAAUCUUAAAUAAGUUCUAAACAAAUUCUAACCAAAUUCUAAAUAAAUCCUAAAUAAAUACAAACUAAAUCAUAAAAAAAUCCUAAUCAAAUCCUAAAGAAACCUUACUCAAAUAUUGAACAAAUUCUAAUCAAAUUCUAACCAAAUCCUAAUCAAAUUCUAAAUAAACCUUAACCAAAUCUUAAACAAAUUCUAUUUAAAUCCUCGACAAAUCCUAACCAAACUUCAAUAAAAUCCUAAAUAAAUCUUAAUCAAAUCCUAAACAAACCUUAAUCAAAUCCUAAUCAAAUUCUUACCAAAUCCGAAAUAAAACCUAAACAAACCUUAAUCAAAUCCUAAUCGAUUCCUAAACAUAUCCUAACCAAAGUCUAAAUAAUUCCAAGUAAUUCCUACAGCAAAUUUAAACCUUAAUAACUAAUAAAUGAACUAUUAGUUUUAACUCAAAAUUUGCACACUUCUUAAAAUUUAAGUUGAAAAAAAAGCAAAAAAAAAUUGAAGAAGAUUAAACAUACCAAAAAAAAGAUCAAUCCUAAUACUUGCCUAGAUGUUGCUUGGCUUCCUUCUUCAAUCUAAAUGUUGAAUUUCUAGUACUAAUAUCUCUUUAUUAAACCAUUCAAUUGAUUUUAAAUUUUUUAUUUAUGUAGGAAAAUAAGUCUACUAUCCAUACACUUAAUUUUUACUCCAAUCCAACUAAUAGAUUGCAAGAAAUCUUAGAAAUCUUUAUUUGACCUAAAACUUUACUUUUUGAGACUCCAACUCACUUAAACCUCAAUAAUCCUCGAUCCAAGUCUUUGAACAAGCUCAAACUCACAACAUAUAUUGAACACAUAUAAAUCCACAAAUCUUCAAUAUUUCACUUGUGGAUCUAUUGCCAAACUUAUAAAAUUCUCUAAAAGGUAUCUUUUUUUUUAUUUCACAAAUUCAAAGUCACCCAAAACAAA
rnacentral:lncRNA from 1 species